rnacentral:rRNA from 1 species
UACGAAGGGGGCUAGCGUUGCUCGGAAUUACUGGGCGUAAAGAGCUCGUAGGCGGCCUGUUGCGUCCGCUGUGAAAGCCCGGGGCUUAACCCCGGGUCUGCAGUGGAUACGGGCAGGCUAGAGGUAGGUAGGGGAGAAUGGAAUUCCCGGUGUAGCGGUGAAAUGCGCAGAUAUCGGGAGGAACACCGGUGGCGAAGGCGGUUCUCUGGGCCUUACCUGACGCUGAGGAGCGAAAGCGUGGGGAGCGAACAGG